rnacentral:rRNA from 1 species
CUAGAUAGAGUUAUGAUAAUGACAUUUUCUAUCUAUGUGUCUUGACCAAAACACGUGCCAGCAGUCGCGGUAAUACGUGGAAGACUAGUGUUAUUCAUCUUUAUUUGGUUUAAAGGGUACCUAGACUGCUAAUCAAGCCCCAAAAGGGUACUAAUUGGCUAGAGUUUUAUGUGAAAAGGGGUGUACUAAAGUGUGGAGAGAUGAAAUUCUGUGAUACCUUACUGGAACAGUCAACGGCGAAGGCGACCUUUUAUGUAAAAACUGACGUUGAAGGACGAAGGCUUAGGACACCAAUAGGAUUAGAUACCCUAGCAGUCUAAGCAGACAAUGAUGAAUGUCAUAGGCAAGAAUUAUAAUUUUGUCUAUAAAUGAAAGUGUAAGCAUUCCACCUCAAGAGUAACGCGGCAACGCCGGAACUGAAAUCAUUAGACCGUUUCUGAAACCAGUAGUGGAGUAUGUUGUUUAAUUAGAUUGUACGCAAAAAACCUUACCACAGUCUGAAUAGAUAUAUAAAUAUCAUACAAGCGUUGCACGGCUGUCUUCAGUUAAUGUCGUGAGAUUUUGGUUAGUUCCAUUAAAUUAACGUAAACCCUUACUUUAUUUUUUAUUAUGAAGUAGUUCACCGGCACAGCGGUCAUGAUAAAAGGGAUUAAGACAAGUCAUUAUGGCCUUAGAAUUGUGGGCUAUA